rnacentral:rRNA from 6 species
UGCCUUAGUAACGGCGAGUGAAGCGGCAAUAGCUCAAAUUUGAAAGCUGGCCCCUUUGGGGUCCGCGUUGUAAUUUGUAGAGGAUGAUUCGGCGAGGGCUCCCGUCUAAGUCCCCUGGAACGGGGCGUCAUAGAGGGUGAGAAUCCCGUAUGUGAUGGGUUGCCUUAGCCAUGUGAAUCUCCUUCGACGAGUCGAGUUGUUUGGGAAUGCAGCUCUAAAUGGGAGGUAAAUUUCUUCUAAAGCUAAAUACCGGCCAGAGACCGAUAGCGCACAAGUAGAGUGAUCGAAAGAUGAAAAGCACUUUGGAAAGAGAGUUAAAAAGUACGUGAAAUUGUUGAAAGGGAAGCGCUUGCAGCCAGACUUGUCCGCAGUUGCUCAGCCGGUCUCCUGACCGGCGUACUCUUCUGCGGCCAGGCCAGCAUCAGUUCGGGCGGUCGGAUAAAGACCUCGGGAAUGUAGCUCCUCUCGGGGAGUGUUAUAGCCCGGGGUGGAAUGCGGCCAGCCUGGACUGAGGAUCUCGCUUCGGCUAGGAUGCUGGCGUAAUGGCUGUAAGCGGCCCGUCUUGAAACACGGACCAAGGAGUCUAACAUCUAUGCGAGUGUUUGGGUGUCAAACCCAUACGCGUAAUGAAAGUGAACGGAGGUGGGAACCCUCACGGGUGCACCAUCGACCGAUCCUGAUGUCUUCGGAUGGAUUUGAGUAUGAGCAUAGCUGUUGGGACCCGAAAGAUGGUGAACUAUGCCUGAAUAGGGUGAAGCCAGAGGAAACUCUGGUGGAGGCUCGCAGCGGUUCUGACGUGCAAAUCGAUCGUCAAAUUUGGGUAUAGGGGCGAAAGACUAAUCGAACCAUCUAG